GAAACGGUGAUUAAUACCGGAUACUCCUUCUCACUUAAUGUGAGUCGGGAAAGUUUUUCGCUAAGGGAUCGGCCUAUGUUGUAUCAGGUAGUUGGUAGGGUAAUGGCCUACCAAGCCUAUGACACAUAGCGGGUCUGAGAGGAUGAUCCGCCACACUGGUACUGAGACACGGACCAGACUCCUACGGGAGGCAGCAGUGGGGAAUAUUGCACAAUGGGCGAAAGCCUGAUGCAGCAACGCCGCGUGGAGGAUGACACAUUUCGGUGCGUAAACUCCUUUUAUAUAAGAAGAUAAUGACGGUAUUAUAUGAAUAAGCACCGGCUAACUCCGUGCCAGCAGCCGCGGUAAUACGGAGGGUGCAAGCGUUAUUCGGAAUCACUGGGCGUAAAGGGUGCGUAGGCGGUUUGGAAAGUCAGAUGUGAAAGCCUACAGCUUAACUGUAGAACUGCAUUUGAAACUUCCAGACUAGAAUACUGAAGGGGCAGAUGGAAUUAGUGGUGUAGGGGUAAAAUCCGUAGAUAUCACUAGGAAUACCGAAAGCGAAAGCGAUCUGCUGGGAAGUUAUUGACGCUGAGGCACGAAA
rnacentral:rRNA from 1 species